ACUGUUUAGUUUAAUAUAAAAUAAAUGUUUUGAAAACAUUAGAUAGAAUUUUUUUUAAUAGUUG
rnacentral:tRNA from 1 species